UACAAAUAAACUGCUCCUUACAGCUGUUUCAGCCUAUGGUCAAGAGUCAAUUCAAUUUAUAUUGCCUACAGAUGUCAGUGUAUUAUGGUUUUUAUGUAUAUAUAUAUGAUGGAGAUGGAAAAAAGGCUGCAACAAUCCUAUGUGAGGGAGAAAGCAGACAAAGAAGCCUGGGUUAUAAAAAACAUUAAGUCAAACCCAAAGGACUUCUUUCAUUAUGCGAAAGAAACAGCCUCAGUACACUGCAAGAUCCAAAAGGAUGGUUCCCUCGCAGACGGUCCAACUAAGAUCAGUGAGAUACUGAAUGACCAGUUCAAAAGUGUCUUUACCAUCCCGUAGGAGCACAGACAAGUGAACGAACCAGUGGACUUCUUUGCUGCCUCACCUAUAACCAGCAAGGCAGUUACAAUGGGAUACAUUGACAUUAGCGAAGAAGAUAUACUACUAGCCUUAGAUGAAGUGGACACAAACUCAACUGCUGGUCCUGAUGGUUUCCCAGCAAUCCUCCUCAAAUUGUGUAAGCAUGCCCUGGCAAAACCCCUCUAGAUUCUCUUCCAGAGCUUUCUUACAAAUGGCAAACUGUCAAGCAAGUUGAAGGAGGGAAUAAUAUGCCCAAUACAUUAAGUGGGAAGUAGAGCAGAUGCCAAAAGAUGCGGAUAUUCGUCCUCAGCCGCCUGGAUUACUGCUCACAGCUAUGGUCACCCACCAGUGUAAAAUUAACAGCGGACCUUGAAACAAUCCAGAGAAGAUUCACAAAGAAGAUUGUCUCUUUGCAACAGCUCAGCUACUGGGAAAGGUUGAAACAGCUAAGACUCUACACCCUGGAGAGAAAACGGGAGAGGUAUGCAGUAAUAUAUAUGUGGAAGAUCCUGGAAUUCUUCUUUUCCUCUGCUCUGUUACCAAUCACUCCAGACGAUGUUCAGUGUAGUGGAUCUUUUGUUGAUACUGACAUAGAAGUGCGGUUCCUUGUACACUGUAAAACAUGUAUUUUUAUUAGGAAUUGUGAUCAAGGAGGCCAAUAGGAGGAAGAAAGAGCAAUGAUAGCAAAAAACCCAGAAUGGGUGGAUGAAGUGAGUUAAUGUAUGGUUGUAGAGACAGAGUUAUUAGAGUAAAAGCAGGAGAGGAAUGAUGUUCAGAAGUGGGUGAUAGAUAACAGUAGAAGUGGCCUAGAGAAGAGAGCGAGUCAUGAUUGACAGUACAGAAAGAGUGAAGUGAGAGUGUAUUGGGUAAAGAUAGUUCGGUGCAGUGAAAGCUGAGGGUGAUAGAACAAUGAGGAUGACAGUAGAAAGGACUUGAGGGAUUGAAUGCUGGUAGGCCAUGUACCAUUUGUUAUGUGAACAGUACAAGUAAUUGGGAGGUUAGUAGUAGAGAUGUGGGUGCUAGGAAGGAAGGAGGGAGAUGAGUAAUAUAUAAAGAAGGAAUCAAGGAUGUAAAUAGUGGCGUACAUACACAUGUGUAUGUAGGCCUCUUUGUAUUUGUUUCUAACUGCUUGACAAAUGUUGUUGGUUUGUCCCCAUAACUUAGCAGUUUGACAGAAAGAAACUGACAGAACAAGUACCAGACUUCAAAUGAGUACUAUAGUUGAUUUGAUUGAUUAAAGACUUUAAGGUGAUGCAGUAGUGAGGCUUUUCACUGAAACAAGUAAAAGAAUAAAUAUAAAUUUAUUUACUCUUGUUAUCCCUCUGUAAUUCAUGACUUCUAUGCUUUUACCGACAUUGCUGCAUAUUCCAUACUAAUCCAAUUGUUGGUCUUUUAUUUCAAUUACCAAAUGUUGUUAGUAUAUAGUAACACUAAUGUAAAGCUGUAAGCAAACACUUUCUUCAGAUUAUAAUUUUCUUAUUAAGUAGGAAAAGAACAAAAGUAAAUAAAUUAUAUGCUGAAUUAUCUUCUCUUUAUCUGCUUCUACAUGUUGGUUUAGUUUUAGAUUAAAUAACUUCCUUUAUUUGUUACUUCCUAAACGACUGUUUCACCCUCCCCUCUUCUCCCAUCCUCUGUUUCCUCUUUUUAGUUUCAUUUCACUGUUUUUUACUAAUCUUACAUCACUGGUUUGUUUAGUAGUGAAUUUGGAUCUGAUUUGACAUGACAUAAAUAAUUAAAACCAUCUGUAAUUUUAAACAAUUCAACUGGAGCUUCAAUAUUUUAAAAUUUUGUAGCAUUCUUCAUGUUUAAAUCUUAUUUUUACCUUUCCCCUUAGUUUUUGUUCUUUCUCAAAUGUAAUCUUUUGCUUGUCAGUAAAAUUUUUUACCUUUACUUCAAAAUAUGUCUAUCCAUCAGUUCCCUAUCAUUUAAGAAAUGUUUUGGAAACAUCUGCAUUAUUUUGCAUGUGAGGUGUUAGUUUUUAGGUUAUGCUCAUCUGUUGGUAAUGUGUAGUUCUCUCUCUCUCUCUCUCUGCCCACCUCCUAAAUGCCAGUUUAAGCUAAGCUGUAACAUUUGAUAUUUGCUGUGAAUGAAGAGAACUGCCAUUGAGAGAGUGGCAUUAGGAAUUUUCUGUUAAUCAUAGUUGGAAGCAAGAAAGAAACUUGAUAAUAUUUGUUUAGUUGUGUAUCUGUAUGGUUCAUUCCCUUUCUUCUUAAUUCUGUUGACGUUGACUGCUGCAAUUAUUAGUCACCUCUCACCACUGCUGUGCCUUUUGGCUGUUAAACUGCACACAGGGGUAUAUAUAGGUUAGAGGUUUUUUCAGGUUUGGAAAGGGUCUCUUACAAUUAGAAAAGAUCCCUCCCACUUAAUUAAAAAGAAAAUAUUUGACACAACAAGCUGUUUUCAGUCAUUUUCAUGUUUCCAAAUUUUUUUCAUUUCCUCCUACUGAGUCUUAUUGGAGCUAAUUCCAUCUUAUUAUCCUUAUUCUGCUCCCUCUUCUAAUGGGGUUAUGCAGUGCACUUUCUGUUUCAGAUAGAUGAAAAAUAAAGUAUUAUUAUACUAGGAGUGUAUAAGAUCAGUCCAAAAAGAAAUCAAACUUUCUAAAAAGAAAUUUAAUGUUUUACUUAAUCAAACUUGUCUCUUUCAAAAUUGCCUCUAUCCACUGUUCAGAUGCCACACAAUGUUUUUUUCCAGUUUUGAAACAUGUUUCCAGAGGUAGUGCACAUGAAAUGAUGACCUUGCAGCAUGGGAUUUCAGUACUGGGAGUUAAAACAGGCUGCAGGGCUCAAAUUGUGAGAGUAGGGCAGCUGGGAGGUGGAAGUUAGCUUUACCAAAACAUCAGGAAUAAGGAGUGACAUGUGAUCAGGUGUAGUGUUGUGGCACAUCACCCUGGUUUUGUCAAUGAGAGCAGGUGUGAUGUGGUGUAGUCUCUAGCUGUUUUUUUCCAAACCUCACAUCGUUUCCUUUGCACUGCUUCUCUCAGGACAUCCAAGAAAAAUUCAUAACUGAUUAUUUAACCACAUGAAGCAAACACAUGAUAAAAUCUGCCCCUUCAAUCAAAAAAGAGGUUUUCACGUUUAAAUGACUGUGCCAUGCAUGUUUUGCAGAAAUGAGGAUGCAGCCCACUCUGAUGAUUGCUUUUAGCUGUGACCCAUACUUUAUCUGGUUUGGUAUUUUCAGAAACUUUUUAUCAACAUUCAAAUAGUUGAGUAGUUCCAGUCUGACUGAUUUGGUUCUCUUUUUUUUCCUAUUAGUAGAUGUGAUACAAAUUUUACUGCUGCAAAAUGUACCUUCAGUUUCUCUUAAAAAAAUUAUGUGGUUUGAACUUUUAUAGAUGUCAACUUCUUAGGAAACUUUAUGGACAGUCAGGUGACAAUUUUCACAGAUAACUACAAGUACUUCCACUAUCGUGGAAGGCUAUCCAGAUUUGGGAUUGUUUUGUUGAAUGUUCUUCCCAAUUUCAAAUGCUGGUACCAUAUACCACAUUGUGUAUAGCUCAGUCCUCCCAAAAGACUUGUAACAUUAGAAAUAUUUCCAUGGUUCUUUCUACUUCAAACAUUUUCAUACAGGCAUGUUGCUCCUUCAAAUUGCAAAGUGCAUUAAACACAUGCUCAGCUAAGCAUCUAUAGAUAAAGCUAUCAUAAGUACUGCAGUCACAAGCACAUUGUGCCAGUUGGUUGGUGCACCAUUUAAAAGUGGUCUCUUUUGUGACUUAUUUGCUACAUGUAUAUAAUCAUGAUGAUUAUAUCAUUUUACAUGUACUUUAUCAUACUUUCAUGGGUUUGACAUGUACUUUCCUGGCACUUCUUUACUCAUCUGUUAUUGUCCAUACACAUUGCAUAUCCUUACUAAUACAAUUUUCUCUCUUACUCACUACAACUGUUUUCUUCUCUUGUUUUAUUUCUCAGCUCAUAUCUUAUUCAGAUACAUUAACAUAACAUAUCCAGCAGAACAUGUUUGCAUGUGUUGUUGUUGUUACUUCUGUCAACAUAUUGUAUGUUCACUUCAUGCUUUUAAGGACCUGUGAGAUAAGAAAAGAUGCAAACUAAACCAUUGUAUAUAUAAUCAUAUUAUAAUAUGGCUUGUCAUUGCGUUACUUAGCCCAUUGGUAAUUCUUUCACAUGAUUAGAGUAAAAGAGGGAGAAAGAAGCAUCCAUGACGUGAGGUAGAGGGAAUGUAAUUGUAGCACUUUCUCAUGGUUAGUUGAAGGGAAAAAGAGGAGAAAUAAAAAGAGGAUAAGGGAAGAGUGAGUCAGAAAGAGGGAGAGACAAGCAUCCAUGAUGUGAGAUAGGGGGAAUAUAAUAUUUAUUAUGUGACUAAAAAAGUUAGUUGAAGGUAGAGGAGGAGAGUUAAAAAUAUAAUUUUAGCAGAGGAGUGAUGUUCUGAUGGUGAGGUGAAGGAACAGCAGAGAGAGAGAGUGGGGUGGGAGACAAAGAGAGUGAUGAUGGUGGUGGUGAUUGGAUUGUGAAUAAGUGUAUUUUUAAAAAAUUGAACUAAGUUUUUUAUAUCACCUAUCUCUUAUCUCAUAAGUGCAAUUCUGUGAAAUAUUCAUGCUUAUUUAUGUGGCAGAUAUAUGCAAUUUAACUAAAGGUUGUAUCAUAUGUAUGGGAUAUUUUCUUUUUUGUUCAUGGGAAAAAUGGAAAAAUAAGAUUGAAUAUUUAUUUUAUGAAUGCUGUAUAUUAAGUCUAUAAAAUUGUUCAUAAAGUAUAUAAAGUAAUCAUCAUAUUCCAAUUUCUUUCACUUUUCAGUGAGUAACAAAUGAGUGACUAUCUAUCCAUACAGACAGGACACAGGCUACGCUUUCAGGUUUUUAGAUAAAGUUCAGAAAUAACCCAAUAGGUUUACCAUUAAUUCCAUGAAAUAUUCACAGGUCCUGCUAGUAAUAGUAAUAAUAGUUAUUGUAGUAAAGUGCAAACAACUUUGAAUACGUAGUGAAUUUUGAGAGAAAAUUGACUAUCUGCAUUCUUUGAUUAAGAAGCUUUGGCUUGGAAAUUUUUGUCAUAUUUUCAGUUUGAUGGUGAGUGGUAGAGAGGUGUGAUGUUGAUAUGGACCAUGUUUUGAUGGCCAUGUUUACAUGUGAUUGGAGAACGUUUGGAUACUUUCAAUACAAAGAAGUCAAUACUGAAAGUAAAAUAAUAUAGAUAUUUCAGACACUACUUUACUAUUUCUGACUCUCUUACAAUAUCCAUCACCAUCAUUUUACAUCCUGCUCUACUGUUCCCAGCAACUAUCAAUAGUCAUGUCUAUCCUGUACUGCCUCUGUUCACCAUCACUUUACAAAGUAUUCUAUGCGUAUUUUAACAUGGUACCAGCAUAAGUGAGGACUAAAUAAUACUCUUUACCCUAUGUGGUCUCUGCUUGUCCCAUGUGUCUUACCUUUUUGUACAAGUGCAACACAACCCUUAUUGUUGAUUAACAUGUUUAAUUAUGUAACACUUCUGCAAUUUGCUUUUUACAACCUUAAUGUUUAUUUCAAUUUUUGUUCUAAAUACCUAUUCCCAAAUUGUCUUCCUAUGGUGAUUUAUUUUCAGAGUAUUGAACUUCAAAACAAAGUUGAAAUUGCAAUAAUAAUAUAAGCUCAAUAGGGUCUUUUCAUCCCUUUAAAUCAUUUAAGCGUUCCCCCUAUAAAAAUUAAUUUUUAAUCACUAAAAUAGAGACGGUAUAAGUUUUGUCAGACCAUUCAUUCUAGCCCCAAUCUAUAGUGCAAGUUGUUAUGCUACCUUAGUACAGUUGUAAUACUGUGACUGUUAAAUGUUAAUCACUGAACAGGCCCAACUCUCUAUUAAAAAAAAACUGAAAGAGACAUGUUUUUGAUAAACAGGCAAAAUUAAUUUUUGCCAAAUUCCUCUAUUUUACAAUAGGUAUAUUUAUAUCUAACGACUUUAAAUUUAAACAUAUUAACCUAUCAACCUAAUAAAAAUACUCAACAUAAUAAUACUCAUUUUAAUGUUAUGUAUAGCUUUAACUAAAUUUAAAGAAAUUUAUCUAAUAAACCAUUAAGAAACAUUAUUUAACAAAACAUACUAUAUAAAGACAAAAGAAUAAUGCAGGCCCCCAGCUGAUUCUUAAGUCAGUAAGUAGAGGAAUGUAACUCAAUAAAUACUGGCAUGGCACUCCAAAAACCAUUCUGUUUCUGGCAACCUGCUGUCCUAAUGAUAACAAUAAUAAUCCUUUAUUAUAAGGCCUGAAAAUUUGGAGGAAGGGAUUAAGUUGAUUACAUUGACCUUAGUGCGUAACUGGUACUUAUUUAAUCGACCCUGAAAGGAUAAGAAACAGAAUUUAAACUCAGAACAUAGCAACAGAGAAAAUGUUGCUAAGCGUUUCAUCAAUGAUUCUACCUGCUCACCGCUAUAAUAAUAGUAAUAAUCCUUUUUACAAAAGGCACAAGGCCAACAGUUUUUUUUAUGGAAAGGAUAAGUUGAUUAUAUUGACCCCAGUAUUCAACUGGUACUUAUAUUGACUAUGAAAGGCAAAGUUAACCUUGGCAGAAUUUGAACUCGGAAUGUAAAGACGGAUGAAAUGCCACUAAGCAUUUUGUCCAGUAUGUUUAUGAUCCUGCCUGCUCACCACCUUAAUAAUAAUAAUAACUACAUUAAUAAUUUCUAAUUUAGGGACAUUGGUAUGUGAUAUUGAUAACAGAAAGGAGGAGGGCAUUUAUCUUUCUUUAGUAAUUAUUGAAAGGGUUGAUUUAUAGAUCUUUACAGAAUGAUGUAGUAUAGGUCUAGCAGUUCAUACAUUUGUUAACUGUUUAAACACUUCAGUCAGCCUCAUGUGCAAAGCUUCAAAUAUAAAGUGUUAAGCAUUUUUUCUCUGUUUGAUAUUUUUUAUUCCACCAUUCAAGUGUUGUUCUCUGUUGCAGCCUGAUAAGUGGACACAGCUUUAGUCAGUGCCUUGCUCAUGAUAUAAUAGUAGUGUAGUAGUAGCUACACUACUCAAACUCAAGAGGUUGAUACUUAUUUCAUUCCACUGUUGUACCUGCUCUCUUCAACACAUGUGUCCAAUCAGGUUUCUUAAAUGUUUGAGUAGCAUACACAAAAGAAGGAGGAUUGUGCAACCUGGUAAUAUCACACACUAUUUUGUUUGAAGGAGGAGCGCUGAAGUUUUUAAUAGGUUUUAAAACUAAACAACAGUUCAAAACAUUUCUAUUUUUAAUUGGAGACAAGGGAAAUAAUUUCUUAUCUUUAAGAUUUACAUCCUGCUUCUUCGUCUUUUUUUCAAAUUCGCUAUGUGUUGAAUAGAAAACUCCAGGCAAACCAUAUGUUGUUCAGGCUUUUUGUUGUCUACAUGUUUUACUUUUUGAGCUAUUGACAUGCAGGCAUGAUAGUGUAGGUAAAAGUCUGCUUUCCAGCCACAUGGUUUCAGGUUCAAUCAUACUGCGAGGCACCUUGGGCAAGAAUCUUAUACAGUAGUCCCAGACUGACUAAAGCUUUGUGAGUUGGUUUGGUUGACAAAAACCUAAAGAAGUCCAUUGUGUGUAUAUAUAUAUAUAUAUAUAUAGGGAGAGUUUACGAAAAAAACUAAAGAUGAAGACAGGUGGUGUACAAAACAAACAGAUGUAUUAGCAUAAUGCUCAGGAAUAGAAAAAGUCUUUUACGUUUUGAGCCUAUGUUCUUCUACAGAAAGGGACACAGAAAAAAAACAAGGAGAGAAAAAAAAUGUGUGUAGUGGCUAACAAUCUAUCAUGGCGUCAUGAUGUAGUGGCUAACGAUCUAUCAUAGCGUCAUGGUGUCAGUGUUCUGUCUGCCUGUCUGUCUAUUUUCUUCUAUCUAUCUUUCUAUCUAUCUAUCUUUCUAUCUAUCUAUCUUUCUAUCUAUCUAUCUAUCUAUCUAUCUAUCUAUCUUUCUAUAUAUCUAUCUAUCUUUCUAUCUAUCUAUCUAUCUUUCUACCUAUCUAUCUAUCUUUCUUUCUUUCUAUCUUUCUAUCUAUCUUUCCUUCUGCCACCACCGAUUAGCAGACUGAUGCCUGAGGGUUGCAUCAAGUGGCUUCUAGUAGCGGGAACCUGAACUACAAUGGGUUUGUUCCACAGAGAAUGUUUCCAGUUACUUUUGGGUACCUCCUCAUAUAACGGUGAAGCCUACUUACAAUUAAUGUUUGAUGUUAGGACACACAUAAUGGGUUUUUUUUUUCAGUUUCCAUUUACCAUAUCUGCUCAUGAGGCUUUGGUCAGCCUAGGUCUAUAGUAAGAUGACACUUUCCUAAAGUGCCACACAGUGGGACUGAACUUGAAAUCCUGUGGCUGAGAAGCAAACUUUUUACCACACCUAUGCAGCCAUACCAGCAUAGUCAUAGUCAAGAAAUUUGCUUCCCAAUCACAUGGUUUUGGAUUCAGACUUACUGUGUGGAAUCCUAAGCUCUAGGCUGUUCAAAGCUUUGUGUGUAAAUUUGGUUGACAGAAACUGAAAAAAGCCUGCAUGUGUGUGUGUGUGUGUUUGUGUUUGUCUUGACAUCAUGUGAUUGUUGUAAAUGAAUAUCUUUCAUUUCCAAUAUUCUGCAAAACAUGUCUAGUCAUGCAGGUGAGGUUUGGUGACACGAAAGGCAUCUGGCCAUAAAAAAAAUCUUGCUCAGUAAACUCUGUCUGAUCCAUAUAAACAUGGAUAUGUGAAAGCAGCGACGUGUGUGUGUGUGUGUGUAAUAUUAGCAUUGAUCUACUUUUGUGUGUAUGUGGUGAGGUGCGGGCUAUUUUAUCAUUUCUAAUAUUUUAUUCACUUAUAUAUUUUAUGGGUUGGAAACAUUGUUUUCAUGAUCUUAAAGAUUUCAGAAGUUUAUCAGUUUGGUCAAUAAAAUUGAAUUUUUCAUGGUGUUUAUGUUUAAACAGUCAAUACUUAAAUCAUAUUAAAGUAAGGACAUCUCAUGAAAAGUAUAAUCUUUCAAUAAGAAAGUCAGAAUAAAACCUGAAGAUUUUGUGAUAUCUUUUUCAUCUUUUAUCAUAUAAUGAUUUUUAUGUUUUAUCAGUCAAUGAACUUAUGUAUUUUCUUUUAGAGAAAAUAUAAUGCAAAUUCAAUCAAUAAAUUUUAUCUUAUAUUUUUAUGCCACUUCCCUCUGUUACUCUUCCAUGGCUAGUUUACUUGAGUUCAGUCUAUUACUACUGUCACAACUAAUGUUCGGAAAACUUAGUUACUGGCACUAAACAAUGCAGAAGCUGAAACGUUCUAUUGACAUUCAACUGAAAAGAUCAGCGUGCUUAAUCUCUUCUUUGACCAAGGUACCAUCUUUUCUGUAAGAAAAAUAAAAAGCAGCAUACUUUUGGAAGUUACUCUCUUUACUUGUUUCAGUCAUUUGACUGCGGCCAUACUGGAGCACCACCUUUAGUCGAGCAAAUCAACCCCAGGACUUAUUCUUUGUAAGCCUAGUACUUAUUCUAUCGGUCUCUUUUGCCGAACCGCUAAAUCACGGGGACGUAAACACACCAGCAUCGGUUGUCAAGCGGUGUUGGGGGGACAAACACAGACACACAAAUACACACAUAUAUAUAUACAUAUAUACGAUGGGCUUCUUUCAGUUUCCGUCUACCAUAUCCACUCACAAGGCUUUGGUUGGCCCGAGGCUAAAGUAGAAGACACUUGCCCAAGGUGCCACACAGUGGAACUGAACCCAGAACCAUGUGGUUUGUAAGCAAGCUACUUACCACACAGCCACUCCUGCGCCUAAGUUGUUAAAUUUAUUUGAAAGUUGUUAAAUUUAUUUGUCAAUUUGUCAAACUAAAUCAGUAAGACUUCUAAGUAUUGAUCACUGGCAUCAGAGAAAAUACUUUUUCAGAAAGUUUACAUUUGAAUUAGUGAAUGAAACCAAUGUGUAGUUAUUUUUUUUUCUUUGACAUCAAUUAUCAAAUAACUUAGAGAUCAUUUUACAAUUGUUGUAAAAGCUGAGUGUUUUGUGACUGGAACACUCAGGACCUCAUUAGGAUUCUGAAGUCUUAAGAAUACUGGGUUAUUUCAGUUGUAUUAUCUUUUCAAGACAUGUAUCAGAUUGUGGACAAAUGGCACAAUGGUAUUAAAUACCCCUAGUACUUGAGGAGAUUGGUAGUAAUCAGUAUUGAUAUUAAUCUAUAUAGUAACUACCAAUAAAUGUGUUAUUGUUCUACUUUUAAAUGUUAAAUCAAUAAUGCUAUGCAAAUCUUCAUCAAUAUUCUCUUUAACUAAUUCAACAAUGCUAUUUUACCAAACCUACAUUGCUGCUUUACUAAAUGAUGUCUUCAGUUUACUCUUUUAUUCUUUUCAGUCAUUUGAUUGUGGCCAUGCUAGAGCACUGCCUUUAGUCGAGCAAACUGACUCUAGGACUUAUUCUUUGUAUGCCUAGUACUUAUUCUAUCGGUCUCUUUUGCUGAACCGGUAAGCUAUGGGGACGUAAACACACCAGCAUUGGUUGUCAAGUGAUGUUGGGGGGACAAACACAGACACACAAACAUAUACACACACAUACAUAUAUAUAUAUAUAUAUAUAUAUAUAUAUAUAUAUAUAUAUAUAUAUAUAUAUAUACACACGAUGGGCUUCUUUCAGUUUCCAUCUACCAAAUCCACUCACUUUGCCUGAAGCUAUAGUAGAAGACACUUGCUCAAGGUGCCACGCAGUGGGACUGAACCUGGAACCAUGUGGUUGGUAAGCAAGCUACUUACCACACAGCCUAUGAGUUUGAUCAAAUUUUCAUGUCUUUCAUGUUUUUGUAACUCUUAGAGCAUAGAUGAUAAUGUUAAUAGCCUACAGUCAUGGAAUUUAUUGAUGUUUGUCAUGAUAUGUAACUUUGUCUUGCUAAUCAUGGUGGAAUAACCUGGAUGUGUAUGAUGUCUGUUGGAACUCCUCCAUGUGGUAAAGGUUUAUUUUCCUGAUCUAUAUGAUUACAUUCCUGCACAGUGGAAUAGAGAAAAUAAAUUCCUCUACAGUGGAAUAGAAAAAAUAUAUGUGAUGGUGUUGAGUAAUAAUGUUCAAGAAUGGGAGAUUUCCGAGGAUUCUAUUUGUGGGUUCUGACUUUCUAGACUUUUAAAUCUUAGUAAAUAUCUCACUUCAAAUUGUUAUUAAUCCAGAUUUGGUUAAACCUGAGCUAAUGAUUUUUCCAGAGAGCCAAUAUAUAAAAUGUAUUGGCUCAGCAUAUUCAACUGACAUUCCUAAAGUAUUUGAAAAACUCUCUCUCCAGCAAUUGACAUAUAAUCGCUGAUAAAUUAUACAACUGAAAUACAGGUGGAUUACUGUUACUCAGUGGGGUGCAUCAACUGGGGAUCAAUAUUUGAUUUUAUAAGAGAGGUUUAUUUGUGGGUUUUUUUUCUGCCUUUCCCCAAAAUAUUAAAAAUGUAAGGAAAGUGAAUUUUAAGCAGGUCAUUAAUGCAUUUUACUCAAUAUCUAUCAUAAUAUUUACUCAUCCCAGAUACAUAUAAUGUUGGUGGCUCUCUGUGUGAUUAGGAUUUAGCUGUUUGAUCAACUGGACUGACUGACUUGUCCAUGAUUUAAUGUGUAAAUGGCUGAGUAUUCCAUAGAUGUAUGUAUCCUGAACAUAAUUCUUAGGCAGACUCAGCUUGAUACAGUGACAAAGCUGUGCUUUUGGAAUUAUAUGUACAAUCCACUUGUCAAGUUUCUCUACAGCUUCCAUCUCCAAUUUUACUCAGGUGUUAGUUGACUUAAAGUUAUAGAAAAAUGUUGAACUAGGCAUUUCAUUGUUGGGAAACUAACUUUUUCAGCCAUACUGCACCUAAUGUGGAUAUACAUCAUGAAUAUUAGUUAUUGGAUUAAUUUUCAUACAAGAAAAGUUGUUGUAGCAAUAAGUAGUUUGUGACAGCCUAACUUUCAGAAUGAUAUCACUUUAUACUUUUCAAUGUUUUUUUUUAAUCUGUAAAAUUUGAAAAUGUCUUUUGAGUCAGUUGAAUGUGAAUUUAAUAUGGCUUUUAGACUUGCAUCAUACCAAAACCAGAAGCCUAUUUCCCUUAUGGCAUUUUGUCAGUUGCUACCUCAGCUUGUGUUACAGACAGCAUUGUUAACUGAUUCUCUAACAUGUUUUGCCAGCUUAUUCUUCUCAACUUGCUCCAUGCUCACACAUUUUAUUCCUUGUCACACCUACUUGUUUUGAAUAAAAUCCAAUGAUUAUUCAGGUAUAUAUUACCUUCUAGGUACAGAACAGAAUCUUGGCUUAAGGUGAUGGUCACCUGUCUUCAUCUCUCACUUAAGAUUUGAAAUUAAAAUAUUUCCAAACUUGUUAACUUACAAUUUAAGAGUUUAAAAGAUAAAAAUCCAAACAGCACAUUUAACUGUUGUCAGAUACGAUGUCAUGUUCUUAGUGAUGCAUUGUAUUUUGACAUAUAGCCAGAACUCCAGUUGUUAUUUACCUCUGCUAAGGUGGCAUGCUAGCAGAACCGUUUUCACAGGCAAAAUGUUUAGUGGCAUUAUAUUCGUCUUUGUUCUGAGUUCAAAUUCCACUGAGGUUGUCUUUCAUCCUUUUGGGGUCAAUAAUUGACUUUGCGGUAUACGGAUGUCCUGAAUCUAUACUUGAUGUGUGUCAUUAAUACGUCCAGGAAUGCUAGCUGAUUGUCUUUUUCCUUUUCCAUUGUGAACUGUAUGGCUUUAUUGAAUUCACAUGAUCUAACAGCACUUAGACAUCUUCCUGGUAGGGCCAGAGUAUAAAGGCGUCAUCAACAUAUUGCAGCCAUAGGGUUGAUUUCAGUGGUGUUGAUCCUAAAGCCAAAUUCUCAAAGUAUUCCAUGUAUAUAUUGGCUAUUAUCGGUGAUAAAGGUGAACCCAUAGCUAAACUCUCUUCUUGUCGAUAUAUAUCAGUGUCCAUACUGAAGUAAGUAAUUUCUACACAGAAGGUCAACAUUUCCAUCAAGUUCCUUAUUGGUAUACUAGUGCGUUCUUUUAGAUUGGUGUCUGUUACUAGUUUUUCUUGAAUCACCGAUAGUGCUUCACCAGUUGGGACUUUGAUGAACAGACUUAUCACAUCUAGACUCACCAUCUGGUUGGAUUCAAUGGGGGUAUCUUUGAUCUAUUCUGUGAAGUGGGUGGAAUUCUUCACAUAUGAUGUUGACUUUCCUGCUAAUGGACUGAUUAUAUCCACAAGGAAGCAGCUCAGUGGAUGACAUGCUGAACCUCUACAGCUCACUAUAGUUCUUAAUGGAAUACCAACCUUAUGAAUCUUAGGGAGACCAUACAUGUGUGGUAGUUUACUGUAGUGUUGAGUCAGUUGCCUGUACUUCAUUGGUGUAAAGUGAUCCUUUUUCUUGAUCAAAAUCUGUGACAAUUCCUUCUCUCUUUUCAGAGUUAGGUCUAUUUUUUUUCUUUGCUAUGGCUACCAUCACUUAAUAUAUAUUUUUCAGAGUAGUCAUCAUCAUUUCCCAGGUUUUAAAUUUUCCCAAGACACCUGAUGAAGGCUGGAGGGUAUAUCAGCUGAAAUGUUGUGUUAACAACAAAGAUGAGGGCAAAUAUCCGUCAAAUGUAAAUAAUGUAAAUGAUGUACAUAAUUCUUCAUCUCUUAAAUAUAAAACUUUAUUAACUAAACCUUUGUCUAAAUAAUUUGGGUACUUUGGCAAAUCCAGUUGAUAACAUCUUCUUUGUUGUCAGCUGCCUCUCACCAUGUAUUUUACUUUCUGUUUAUUUAUUGUCUUUUUUUUUGUAAGCUGCAGAAAUUUUAAUUAGGUUUCUAGAAUAAGUCUUUCCAAAUAUUUGUGUGUGUGUUUGAAUGGGUUUUCCACUUCAGUUCAUUCUGUCAUUAAUUUCUUCCAGUGAUGGAUUGGAUCUGAAGUCUUCAAAUUAGCUUUCUCCUUUCUGGUUUUGAGAAGCCUAAUUUCUCAAGAUUGGUAUUUAGGCAGUGUGUUACAUAUCCCAGGGCCCCAAUAAUUACAGGUAUAACAGGUAUAAACCUGAACUUGUAAUCUGGAUAGAGUUACUGCAGAUUUCUCAAUAGUUCAGCAUAGGUGUUCUCUUUUCCACUGAUCUUCAACUUUAUGUUAACAUCUGCUGGGCAGCUAAUUUCCACAACUGUGCACAGUUUCUCUUCUCUAUCCCAAAUCAUUAUAUCAGGUUUUUUUAUUAUGAAUGGCUAUGGCUUCUACCAUAUUGUGUGUUCUUAUUUCUUUGUCCUUGCGAUUAUCCUUUCAAGGAAUUUCACCCAUGCAAGCAAGGAAAAGUAGACAAACAUUAAAGCAAUGAUGAUGUUGAUGUCUAUCUGUCUGUCUGUCUCUUAUAUUUUUAAUAGUUAUAAAUCUUCCACUGAGGAGGGAGCCAGUUUCCAACAAAGAUACAAGGCUCCAUCUUUGGGAUGUAGUUAACACAGACAAAUUCACAUUUGUAACUUGAGAAAAGUCUUGCAUAUUUUUACUGUUCUGCUCACUGAUUGCACUUGUAAUGUAUGAAUCAGCUAGUCUAUUUCUCUUCCUGAAAACCCCAGUUUAUCCAGAUUCUCCUUUAAGCAUUUACUAACUAAACCUAGUCCUCCAAUUAUUACUGGUAUGAAUAUGAAUUCAUAGUCUGGAUAUAAAAGCUGGAGGCUUCGAAGCAGUUAUGUAUGUAUGUAUGUAUGUAUGUAUGUAUGUAUAUAUGUAUGUAUGUAUGGGCAUACACUGUAUGUAUGUGUUUGUCUCUCCACCAUUGCUUGGCAACAGAUGUUGGUGUGUUUAUGUCCCUGUAACUUAGUGGUUUGGCAAAAGAGUCUGAUACAAUAAGUAUUAGGCUUACAGAGAAUAAGUCCUGAAGCCAAUUUGUCUAAAGGUGGUGCUCCAGCAUGGCCCCAGUCAAAUGACUGAAACAAGUAAAAGAGUAAAAGAGUAUAUGCACACAUACACACACACACACACACACUCUCUCUCUCUCUCUCUCAUAUUAAAAGACACACUUGUUAAAAAUGAUGGAGCCUAUUAUUGUAUCUUUCAGUAUAUCUUGAUGUGUCUGUUUCAAGCCUUCAAGGGUUGCUUCUCUUUCUUCUUAGGUUUCUUGUUUUGAAGCACAUUUCAUCUCCAAUUCACUGUUUGAAGUGACUGAAGAUUUCCCUGUCUAUUUCAACUAUUGUCCUUCCUCAUUCAUUCACUUUCUUUCAUUAUUUCUUUACCUUUUUUCUCCCUAACAGAAUUUGUCCUUGCUUCUUUUUAUUUCUCAAACAUUCCCAACUGCAUUUUGAUAUCAUUCACAAAUCUCUCUCUUCCCUGUUAUUUUAUAUGUUACUGUUCUAAUUUAAUCUUGCUGUUGUAGAGCUCUAUUUUUCUCCAUCCCACCUCUUCCUGUAUCUCUUCAGUUAUCACUCUACUCUCCCUCUCUAUUUCAUCAAUUGCUUGUCAUGUUUGCUGGAUGUCUGCUAACUGUUUCUCUCACCUUGACUACUACUUUCUUUUCCCUCUUUCCUAUAAUGUGAUAGGAAAACAAAAUAUGAAAAAAAAAGAAAGCAAAACACACACACACACACACACACACACACACACACACGCACACACACACUCUCUCUCUCUCUCUCUCUCUCUCUCUCUCUCUCUCUAAGAAAUAUUGGUUUCUAUUACACAAACAGAAUGUAGGUUUCUUUGAGUAGAGAGAUAAUAUUGAGAUGUAUAAAUAAACAUGAAGUUUACUUGUAUGUUCUGUUCAUAUGAUGUCAACAUUCAUUUAAAAUUUUAAUAUUCAAGAACAAACUUCAUUUAUUUAUUAUCCAAUAGCAUGUCUGAACAUAAUGUUUGAUCAAUGAUGAUAAGUUAACAUCAAAGAGAUGUAAAAUUUUAUUCUUUAGAUUCUGUAUUGAAGCGGUGUUCAAUUAAUAUUACUCAUAGACUGUAGCUUUGAGAACAAGUGCUCUAUCAAACACCUUGAUAGUUUGCAGUGAUCCUUGAAUUAAUUCAUUCAAAUUCAAGUUUACAAAGACUCUACUAGCUCCUUUUAUUACACAUAAAGAAUAUUUUCUUUUCUUUUUUUUUUUGUAUUAUUUAGGUUCAGUUAUUUCUCUGUCUCUUUUUUUUCUCUCACUCUCCCUCCAUUAUCUUUAUAAAAUUUUGAUUACACAUUUAUUCAUGAUUCACUUCUUCAAAAACUGUACAUCAAUUUAUUAGUGCAAAUUAACCAAUUCUAAUUGUUGUAACAUUUUAAUAUUACAAAUAUUACUUGUUUUAACAAUCAGUUAAGUGAACUGAUCCCCUCUGGUUUAUUGGUGUUUUAUUUAUUGAGUCAGGAAGAUGAAUCUCAGAUGAUUUAGAAAUUUCACAAAAAUGUAUUAUUUCAUAUUUGUGCUUUUAGUCGAGGUAGUUAUCCUUUGAAAUUUUAUAGAUUGUAUAUUUUCUUUUUCUGUAAUUGUUCUCAUGUAGAACUGGGUGUAUAAUGUUAUUCUUUGAUCAAUAUUUAGUUAGAUAGUUUGUCUUUAUUAAGAGUAGUAGAGAAAACAACUAGAGCACUGUUAAUAGUGAAUCAUAGGAGAUGUUUAAAUUACUCUCUGAAAGCCUAUUUCUGGAACACUACGUAGAGCUUUUACCUUAGCUGUCUUGACUACAAGGCAAUAAGUUCUGUAAGAAUUCAACUGGAUCAGCAACUUGAUCCACAAGAUGUGGAGAUGAAGGUCAUAUAAUGGAUUUGUAGGGGAAUCCACCUGGAAUUCUUACAUAACUUAAUCACUACACAAAGGUAUAAUGAUUAUUGCAUUCAAAUGCCACCCAAAUCUUAAAUGUACCCAGUUGAAAUGUGCUUUGAACUUUCCAAAGAGUAAAAUUGUAAAGCUCAAUUAGGAGUCUUCUGAAUAGUGUCUUCCAAAACUCAAGAUGUGGUUGACGUUUUUAGAUAAUAGAACAGUAGAGUCCAGGGAAACUUGUAAUGUUCUGCAUUGCUAAAUCUCUCUAUAAUAUGGACUGAUUUGUAUUUAUGUUCUGCCAUUCAUCAAAAAAUAGCAUGUAAUUUGGCUUGUAGCAGAAAUAUUACAUGUUGAUCACAGAGAUUAUUGAAUGUCACCCAUGUUUUGGUAAUGUCUCUGUUGCGUAUAUUUCUUGAAAGCUAUGGAAAGAACUAAGAAAGGAAUAGAAGCAUUUAUGAUGAGAAUUAAUCUGUCAUUAAAUAACACUAAUCUUCCUUUCAUGAGUAAUAGAAGACAAUUUUUCAUGAUAACUACAUUCACAAUGGCCAGUAGCAAGUCACAAGGACUUCAUCAACAACUGAAUGUUGGUUUAAGUAGGGUACCAGAAAGGAACAGUUAUAAAUUACUGAUGAAUAAUGAUAGAAAAUAGGAGAAAUCUUUAUGGAAAUUGAUGUUUUAACACUGAAUAUUGUGAUAAAGAACUUUGGGAAUAAUGAUAAUUGAAAAUCUGUUGAAGUUUUAUAAAUAUCGUAAUCUGUCUUUGUAAAUAAAGUACUCACAUUUUUAAUUAACUUUCCUUAAACCAUUCUGUGACUCAUUACAAUAAAAUGAAAGUAAAAACAAAACCUAUCAUUUUUAAUGGCACAGAUAGCUAUGUGCUUAUAUCAUCUUUACCCAUCAUUUUUAAUUAGUGGCAUGUUCUGUUACAUUCAUGAAAACUGCUCUUCUCAUUCUAGUAUGAAAAGCAGACGUAAAAUGGUGACUGUAAUAGUUUAGUGUUAAAAAUAAGUUCUUUGGUAAAGAAUUUAUCAGUGGUUUGACCUGUUGUUUUGAAUGGGUCUACCAUGGAUCAUUGUAUACAAUUAAUAAAACUAUUGAUUUCUUUAUGACACAGGUACAUUGGUAAUACAAAAUAUAUUUUAUAUACUAGGUGUGUUGCCUUUUAUCUUAUAGUAAUAAUAAUAAUAAUAAUUUGGCAGUGCCACCUCUAGCCAAACAAUUAUUCUGUGCUGAUGAAGGGAAAUAACCCGGAAAUCGCAAUACACAAAUAUUGUUUUGAGCUGCGUGGGAGUGCUAAAUUCCCUUGUUCGAAAACAUAAGGACAUAGAUUGUGUCGUAUAGCCAACUGGAGACGAUGUCUCCUAGGGCUAGAUUACAGCAACAUUCAUCCUAAACCAGGACUGCUAUGUUAUGUUGGCAAACAAUCUUUACUACAAAGUACUGUUGCUGAAUAUCUCAUGUUGCGAGAUUUAAAAAUAGUAAUUUUCUAAUUUGUAGAUCAGUGACUAGUUGUCACUUUGAAAACUAUAUAUUUCGAAUGAGAAUUUGGCAGCGUCACCUCUAGCCAAGCAAUUAUUCUGUGCUGAUGAAGGGAAAUAACCCGGAAAUCACGAUACACUGAUAUUGUUUUGAGCUGUGUGGGGGUGCUAGAUUCCUUUGUUUGAAAAUAUAAGGACACAGAUCGUGUCAUACACCCAGCUGGAGAUGAUGUCUCCUGGGGCUAAAUUACGGCAACAUUCAUCCUAAGUGAGGACUGCCAUGUUAUGUCAGCAAACAAUCUUUACUACAGUAAUAAUAAUGUUCAUAUCACUGAGGAAGUAGCUGCAAGGCUUGGGAUGACUUGUACUAUUCUUAUCAUGAUGUUAUCUCGAUAGCAGUGUACGACACUGCAGUGUAUCAGGUUCUGAGUCAUGAAUGUAUACCAGAUGUAUAUGAAAAUACUUACUCUUGUCACUUAGAGGGUGUAAUUAAUAUAUACACACACAUAAUAUAUACACACACAUGAGUGUAGGGUGGGAGAACACCAAGAAAUAUUGAAGUAUGCCAGGUGGUCUCUGAGAAUUCAGCUGCACACAGAUACCAAGCAACUGAUUACAAAUUGUGCUAGCUAGGUCAUGUAGUCUGGUUUCCUGUUAACCAAAGACUUGAUUUCUAUCAGCUGAGGAUGUCACUGUUUGAGAAAAACCAUAUCAGUGGGCAAUUAACACAGUAUAAAAUCCUUGGCUCAUUAGCCUUAGUUUGUUGGUGCUUGUUUUCUUCAAAACUGAAUCUAUCAUCUCACUUCAGUUUCUCUACCAUUCUCUCUUCCAUUUUAUUUCCCUGUCUAUUUUUCUCAUCAUUCUGAUAGUGAGCAAGAUAAACUCAAUCAUGACACUGAAAUCAUAAGUAUGUCACUAGAUGAAUCCACAAUUGUGCACAGUUUCUUUUCUCUAUCCCAAAUGAUUAUAUCAGGUCUGUUGUGCUUACAUUUUAUUGAGGUCUUCACUGAGACAUUUCACCAGUAUUCCUUUUUAUUAUGAGUGGCUAUGGCUUCUACCAUAUUGUGUGUUCUUAUUUCUUUGUCCUUGGGAUUAUCCUUUCAAUGGAUUUCAUUAUAGAGUGUCUUAGCUACAACAUCAUAUCUCAUCAGUAGAUAAUACCGUGAUGACAUUUUCAGACAACUGCUCAUGAUGUGCAUGAUAUGUUGAGUGUGACUCCAUGAAGUCUGCAUCGGUUGUCAUAUUUUACUGCUUUUCCUGCAUCUUUAUCCCUUUUGUGCAUAAGGUACUUGGUUGAUUUUUCCUGCUCCUGGAUUGCAUAUGCAUACCCUUCAAAGUGGGAGGUAGUAAUCCGGCUAUUGGGCCAUGAUAAACUACUUUGAUGAUUGAUAUUACUGUCAUCACGGAACUUUCUACUAACAUAUCCAUGCAUAGUCUUUUGCUCAUAUAGGCUCAUCCUUUCAUCUGAUGAUACAUUGCGGUCGAGUCGUGUGACUUCUUUUGGGCAUGUAUUCUAGGUUAUCAAAGAGUGUUGCUCAAGGAGCUGACGUAUGUAUGUGUGUGUGUGUGUUUGUGUGUGAAUAACAUUUCCAUUGUCAAGAAAAGGAUUAUAUUGGAAAAUGACAAAAUUAAUGAAGCCAUCCAACCAGUUGCUAUAAACAGUGCUAUCAGUAAGACUAGUUGAAACUUCACCACUAUAUGAUAUUCACCAUUAUAAUUGUUCAUUUAAUGUUGCACAGAUUAACUUCAAGAAAUAUGAGUUUGAUUUUCCUUCCUUUUAUUCAAACUUAAAACACAAUGUAUGAUUAUUCUUCUAGAUAAAGUUCGAGAAUUAACUCCAUAAUUAUAUUUAUUUAUCACUGAAACCAUUUUAAAACCAUUUUUGACAUAUCAGCCAGUGUUAUUGACCAAUGCUAGCAACUAAUAAAUGUUAUGCCUCUUUAUGCUGUCAGUCUACUUGACAUAACAAACAAAUCUCCCUCAAGCCACACUCUACCUACUUUGAAGAUGUAUCUUCGAUAGAAUUACCCUAUAUAUCAGGCUGAGUAAAAAGUAAGCAAUGUUUUGAAACAUGAAAUUCAUCACAAUAUAUUUCAAUAAUGCGGAAAUUUUAUUUAUCAAAGUAAGUACCAUUACAAUCAACACAUUUUUGCCGAGUUACAAGUUUGUUUAUUCUGGUAACAUAAAAAUCUGGAGUUCUUGAGCUGAUGAACUCUUUGCAUGCACUUUCAGCAUCAGUUUGAUUUUUGAACUCUUCUUGCAGGAAACCAUCAAGGUGCUUGAAAAAGUGUUUGUCAAUAGGAGAAAGGUCUGGUGAAUAAGCUAGGGAAAAACUUCAUAGCCAAGUUCCCUCUUCUGUUGACCAGUCUGGGACAGAGGAGUAGCAGUUUUUCAUUCAUUUUGGCAAUUUCACGGCAAUAUGUUUCUGUAGUAAUGGUGUUUCUGGGUUUUAAGAAGUUAUAGUGGAUGAGUUCAGCAGUAUGCCAUCAAACAGUCACCAUAACCUUCUUUUUGAAGAGCUUGGGUUUAGGGAAGGUUUUGGUGCUUCAUUUUGGUCCAACCACUGCGAAGAACAUUUUUUAUUAUUGUACAGAAUCCACUUUCCAUUGCAAGUUACAAUACAGGCGAGAAAUGGAUUGGUUAUGAAGGAGAAGCGAUGAGCAAAUUUCAUGUCUGUGCAUUUUCUGAUUUUCAUUCAAAUCGUGUGGUACCCAUUUGUCGAGCUAUUUUGAUUUUCCAAUCACAUGCAAAUAGUUGCAGGCAGUUUUCUGGCUAACUCGAAGCUCUUUUGCCAGUUCUUAAGUGGUUUUACAUGGAUCUUUCUCAAGAUCUUUAAUUGACUGUCAUCGAUGGCAGAUGGACAUCCACUAUGCUCAAGGCUUGGGUCUCCACUUCAAAUUCGUUUAAACCACUUUUGAGCUGACCACUCACUAGUCAUUUCCUCACCAAAUGUUUUGUUGAUAUCAUGAGCAGUUUCAGCUGCUUUAUGUCCUUUUUUGAAGUUGAAUAGCAAAAUUGCUCGAAUAUUGUGUUUUGACAGUUCAGAUGAUUGUAACAACGGUGAAAAAAAAUGCCAAUGUUAAUUUAUUGAUGCAUUUGGACAAGUUUGUGUCUGUAUUAUCAGACAAUUGCAAAAAAAAUGUUUAACAAAAAUUGAAAACUGCAAAAUUCCAGUACAAAUUCUUCAUGGUUUAAAACGUUGCUUACUUUUUACUCAACCUAAUAUCUAAUAUAUAAAAUAGAGAUGUGUGUGUGUUCACUUUUCACAUGAAAAUGGCUUCCAUACUUGUGAUAAAUGAAUAAUUUGACCUUGGACACAUGUUAGGCUCUUCAUUUGAUUUUUUUUUUAUUAAAGAUAAAAAAUAUUGCUUGAUAUUUGUGAUUCACUUCUUUAAAAAGGUUUCUCAAUGUCAACUUCCGGUAUUGACAUAAAAGCGGCAAAGUCUCUCACUCUGUUUUAAUGUUUUCAUUUCUGAGUUUUCAUUUCAAGUUUUAAUUCUCUAUUUGUAAACAACUACGAUAAAUUACCGAAAGAAAUAUUUACUAAAGUUCAUAAAUUUAAAUAUUUGGUACAAGAUAGUUUUUAACGUGCUUUUAUUUAUAUGAUUUUUUCAUUCCAUGUUUAUCUCAUUCAUUGUUUGCGAUGUUCUCUCUGUCUCACACACACAUACAUACACACACACACACACACACAUGCACACACUCCACAUUUGAUUUCAUUAUUACAAAAAUAUCACAUUAAAAUUUUGCAAUUCAACAUGGGGCAUCCAAAAAAUAUGGGCAUUAUUUUGCUUGAACUCACACACUUUGUUAAUUUCUGUAAAAAUUUUUUUCACAUGCUGUGUUCAGCUCUAUUUGUUGUCAGUCACACAUGCACAUGUGUGUUUUUGCAUGUACAUUUGUAUACAUUUAUGUAUGUGUGAGUGAGUAAGUGAAGGGGUGGUGUGUUGUCAUGUAUAUGUACAUACUUAAAUACAUAUGCAUACGUCUUUUCUGUAUGUAUGUAUGUGUACGUGCAUAUGUGAAAGAGAGAGAGAGAGAGAGUGGUGUCUAAGUGGCACUCACUCUCUCACACACACAUGCACAAGAAAGAUGUAUGCCUAUUUAUUUAUGUAUGUAUGUAUACAUGACAACACACCCCUUCGCUUGCUCUGUCUCUUUCUCUCUCACACACACAGAUACACACCUGUCCAUUUGAUCUGAUGUUUGAUACUAUAUGUAUUUGUGUGUGCGCGUGCAUGUGGCAUUCCACAAUUGCCAGAAAAAAAAAAAGAGGAGGAAUUUUCUUUCUUGAUUCUCCUGGUGGCACAGGUAAAACAUUUGUAACAUUGCUCCUCUCCAAGGUAACAAAAAAGAAUUGCAGUUGCUGUCCCAUUAUCUGACUUUGCUGCCACCCUUCUCCCAAGAGGAUGAACAACUCCUUCUGCUUUUAAAUUACCUUGCCACAAAUGACAGUUCAAUUUGUAACUUAAGCAAAGAUUCAGCUUCAGCAGAAGUGUUGUACCAAUGCCACUUAUCAUUUGGGAUGAAUGCACCAUGUCACAUGUCCAUGUGCAAUGGAAGCUCUUGGUAAGACCUUACAGCAGUUCUUCUCAAACUAUCUGAUGUGGCAUACUGGCAGUUUUUUUUAUCAAAUGUGCAAGGGACCAGUAAUAUUUCUUAGUAAUAUUAAUUUAUACCAGAAACAAUAUAUAUAUAUAUAUAUAUAUAUAUAUAAAUUGACAAUUUUUUUUUUAUCUUCUAUUUAUUUUGUAAACAAAUAAUACAAUAUUACAUAACCAUUUUAUAAUGUUUCUUUUGUGAAAAUUCGCUGCAUACCAACAGCUGAUGGCUCACGGACCAGCACCAGUCCGCAGUCCACCACUUUGAGUAGCACUGCCUUACAGGACAUCAGAGGCAACAAUAAAUCUAUGGAAGGAGUUACAUUAGUUUCAUCAGGAGACUUCAGACAGACAUUACCAGUCAUUCUGAGAUGAACAAGAUCUGAUGAAAUAAAAGCAUGCAUUAAGUCUUCAUACCUAUAGAAUAAAGUACUGAAAUUUUUCCUUCAAUACUAACGUGCAAGUUUCAUUACAUGGGGAUCAAUGUGCAAAACAGUUUUCAACCUGGCUCCUCACCAUUGAUGGGAACGGUGAGAUCAGUUUGGCUCAUAUUGCUAUCGCAAUAGUUCGAAAGGUUUUCAAAAGAUUAAUCUAUUUAGAAUUCCAUAAAUAAAUAUUAAGGUGAAUGUUAGGAACAUAUGCUUGUCAAACCACCUGUUUAUUAUUAUCAACAAAUCUUCAUUUAUUUUAGUCUUUGUACUUUUGAGUUCUUGUUAAGUUUUAGCCUUUUCUUUCCCCAUGUUCUAUUUCUAUUUAUUUCUUGUAUCUAUCUAGUUUGAGCUUCUUGAAAUUGAUGUCUGUAGGAAAAAUAUACAUAGAGAUGGAAUUGCUGGGGUUGCAAUACUGAAGUGUAGUGUGUGUGAAAUGUGUGGGUGAAAUGCAGAUAGGAUGGCAAGAGGUGUUUGGGUGGAAAUAAUGUACAGUUUGCUUGUUAAAAUGAAUAGGGAUUGAGUAAUGGGUGUAGAAAAGGUAGACAGCAGAAUCAGUAUGCAUGAUUGAGUGGUUGUAGUGUGUUGACAAAUAAGUCUGUGAGUUAACCUUCUGGGAUGUGUGUAGCCAGCAGCAUUGUGCCAGAUAUGUGAACCUAUAUGGGUCCUAUUUGAACCCACAUAGAGAUCAGCAAGUGAUGAUGUUCGAGGUGGAAACUUAGACAUAAUGAUGCAGUUUUGGCAAUGUUACAGAUGUGUAGUUAUCGUGAGCCAUCAUUAGAGAUUGCAAGUCUAACAUAUAUAUACAACAACUUUGAAUGUUGGUUGUGGUGCACUAGUUAAAUCAGUUGUACAAUUUUGAUUGCUUGGCUGGAAUGGUUUCACAUUAAACUUAUCCUUUAUAAAUUGUUCAAUUUCCUGUUUUCUCAAUCUGUGUGUGCCUGUCUGUCAGUCUGAAUGAAUCAAUCAAUUAAUCAAUCAAUCAAUCCAAAAUAGCCAGUCACACAUACACACAUUGUUUUGCAUAACUUAGUGGAUACGGAAUUUAGCUGACAGACUGUUUUAGUUAUAUUUCUUAGAUCCAAGAAUUCUAUUGUUAAACUCUUGCUAUACAGAAAUCUCAUUGAAAAAGCCUUCUUGGAGUUACAAAUUUCUCUGUUGCUAUGUUUAUAUAUCUUCUUACAGUGUCUUCACUGCUAAUGAGUGUGGCCACUCACUUCAAGCAAAAAUUAUUUCUAUGGAUUCUAGUUCUGAAAAGAAUGAAGUAUUACUUGUUGAAAAACUUGAAUAAUCUGAGUUGUUAUCUAUGGAUUUUUACACAAUAUGUUUACCUUAGCAAAUUAUGUCCAUUAAUGACUCUUUGAAUUUUGCUUAGUGUUAAAAUAAAUAUUUUCUCAGAGAGUGGAGAAUAAAAAUUGAAAAAGUAUCUGUAAAUGUUUUUCUAGUCUGGGGCAUAUUCUUCAAAUAAUAAUUGGCUCAUGUUGGUGGAAUUGGUGUAUGUUCACCUCUCACUGAGUUCAUGACCUAUUUGAAACCGUUUCACUGUAUAUACAUAGGUAUAUACAAGGAGUGUGAAUGUGGGUAUGGUAUUGGUUGUAUGGGUGUACAUUUGUGUGUGUGUGUGUGUGUGCAUAUGAGUGCAGAUAUAUGUGAUUUUGUUAUUUAUGCUUGUGGGCAUGUUGGCAUUCCAGAAGCCUGAAGGAGUCAGAUUCUUGUUAGGAGCCUGCAAAACUUGAAGUAGCAUGGAACCAAAUCAAACUGUUUUAAAUAAUAAAUAUAUACAUGUGUGUGUGUGUGUGUAUGUAUAUAUAUAUAUAUAUAUAUAUAUAUAUAUAUACACAUAUAUAUAUAUCUUAUUGUUUACAUGAUCUUUUAUCAUGUAGAGUUGUAGAACUAACAAAGAAAGCCACAAGCUCAACUCAUUUUAAGAAUGAAAAUAUUCAAUGAUGUUUAUUAUCUUUAUUUUCUGUAAUAAAGUUCAUUGUGUUUGUGUAUAUAUAUGUAUGUGUAUUAAAAGAAAGAAUAAUCUGAGGUUGUAUGUAGAAAGAAGUGAUGAUCAAUGAAAUCUGAUUAGAAGCAGAAUCUUCUCAAGAAUGUAAUAAAAGAUCUAAAUCACGAAUCAAUAUAUGUUGUAAAAACUAUCAAGGAUGUUCACAAGAAGUCAAUGAAGGAAUGUUUAAAUUGUGUUCAGUAAUAUAUAAUACACUGUACAAAGUACUUACAAGAAAUGUUUGAAAUGUAUAUCAUAAUUGUAUAUUACAAUCAAGUACAUUUUAGUUCAUGGAGAUUAUAAUGUAAUUUAUUCUGAAAUUUAUUUAUAUUAACUACUAGGCUACCUGUGACCUGUUGGGUCACCUGGAAGGUCUGAGAUUCCCAGCAAUGGAGUUUUGUUUUGUGGGUAUUUUUUUUUCUUUCCAACAAAUGUGACAUUGAAAUCACAUGUAAAUGGCUCCUUUCUCCCGAAAAGAAAGAUUUGGCUGCUAUUUCAUGCAUGCCAUGCUACCAUGCAACAGGUAUUUUGGGACCUUUAUUGCAAAUAGCAGCCAAAUCUUUGGAGCUGAGAUAUGUUGCAUGCAUUCAAAAAAUUCUUGUAAUGGUAUUCUCUUGGGAUGAUCUUUUGCUUUGACUCUCAGAACUGUCAUCUAAUCAGCUGGUUUUGUUUAUUCGUUUUUAUUUGUUUCAGUCAUUUGACUGUGGCCAAGCUGGAGCACCACCUUUUGUUUGUUAAUUUUGUUUAGUUAUUUUUGUUUUAAAGUGAAAGAGAGGAGAAAGUGGAAGAUAUAUGAACAUGUAUGUGAAAUGGAUGUGUGUGUGUGAGAGAGAGAGUAAGAGUGAGAAAGAGAGUGCCACUUAUACAUAAUGAGAUCAUGCAUGUUCACUCACUCUCUCUCUCUAACAUAUGCACACGUACAUACAAAAAGAUGUACGCAUAUGUAUUAAUGUAUGUAUGUAUACAUGACAACAACACCCCCUUCACUCUCUCUUCCUCUUCCACUCUUCCAUACACACAAGUCUAUUUCAUAUACAUGUAUGUAUAUCCUUUACUUUCUCCUCUCUUUCACAUUUUUAUCGCCAUUCACUUGAAAAUAAUAAUAAUAAAAAUAAAAAGAAAACACUGAGACAGGAGAGGAGAUGUACUAUAAGAGUGUGAGAGGAGAUAUUUAGAGACAGCAAGUGUCUCCCCUCACAAGAUAUUAUAUUUUUAUAUAACUGUAUGGAUUGCAUGCUACAUUGAUUAUUGACAAAACAUUCUACUUUUGGGAAUUGAACUUAGAUCAGAACCUAGCCAGACAAGAUGUGUUGUAGCAUGUCUGUAUUGUAUACACAAAAUGUUUAUUAUGUUGAUGUAUUUAUUGAAUACCAGUUUUAGCUAAUUUCUUUUAAAAUGUCAUCAUUUUUAAUAGCACAGGUAUACGAGUAAUCAUAUAGUUAAUAGGGGUCUGUAAUUAGUUAAGAUAGAAGCCAGGUUUGCUUCACAGCACUUUAUUUGGUGCUGCAAUAGUCUGAAUGUAGUUAUGUUUAACCAUGCUUACUAUUUUGCUUUGGUUAUUAAAAAAUGUUAGAAAUAUAUUGGGGUUGAUUUAAUUAUGGUAUGAAGUUGGUAUGGUAUUUUCACUUCAGUUACAUAAGAAUACAAUCAUAAGUACAGUUGAAGUAGUAUAAGCUUUUGCAUCUGCAGCUAACAUCUACAGCAUACUCAUUACCAUUAUCACAUUUUGUAUACAAGGAUGACAACCCUCUCUGUUGCUCAUUAACUGGCCAUAAAUCUGACAUAGGAAGUUGACUGAAGCAUAUAAGGUUGUGAACCAAUCCUGAAACUCGAGAGAGUGGUCGUGUAGUAAUUUAGAACUAGUUGAACAUAACCUUACAUUGAGUGAGAUCUUGUUUCUGGGAACUAACACUAAAUCAUUUUGGGAAAAGUUUAACGUCACUAACACCACAGCUGUCUGAAUUCUUGGGUUUUAUGAAUGGUUUAAUUGCUGCAGAUAAAAACUCUCUAUUCCUAUAUCACAUUAUUCCUUGUUGAAAGUUUCUAUUGGUGAUUUCCAACAGCUUUAGAGAUUCAAAAGAGUUUUGUUUAAUAAUUUAUUGACCAGUAUAAAUAGUUAGAGUUGUAGUAACAAGGACU
rnacentral:lncRNA from 1 species